AAAUGUGUGACUUCUGAGGUUAGAUGAAACCUCCUCUAUCAUUCUGAGCACCUUCCUCUUAGACCUUCCUUGGUGCAUCACACAUUUUUCCAGAGCAGAAGCCCCUAACAAGCUGGACCUGGGAGUCCCUGCCACAUGCAACCCUUCCCUCUCUCCUGGCUUCUGCUUCCCAUGGAUCUUUUAGGAAAUUGCUCUCCCCAUAAAU
rnacentral:lncRNA from 10 species